AGAUGACUCAUCUACGAACGU
rnacentral:misc_RNA from 1 species